AUUGAACGCUGGCGGCAUGCCUAACACAUGCAAGUCGAACGGCAGCACAGUAAAGACUUCGGUCUUUAUGGGUGGCGAGUGGCGGACGGGUGAGUAACGCGUAGGGAUCUGUCCUGGAGGGUGGGAUGAGCCGAGGAAACUCGGGCGAAUACCGCAUGAUCUCGAGAGAUCAAAAGCAGGGGACCCUUCGGGGCCUAGCGCGUCAGGAUGGGCCUACGUCGGAUUAGCUAGUUGGUGGGGUAAAGGCCUACCAAGGUGACGAUCCGUAGCUGGUCUGAGAGGAUGACCAGCCACACUGGGACUGAGACACGGCCCAGACACCUACGGGAGGCAGCAGUGGGGAAUCUUGGACAAUGGGGGAAACCCUGAUCCAGCGAUGCCGCGUGUGUGAAGAAGGCCUUCGGGUUGUAAAGCACUUUAGUUGGGGAAGAAAAGUAAUAAGUAAAUAAUUUAUUGCUCUGACAGUACCCAAAGAAUAAGCACCGGCUAACUCUGUGCCAGCCGCCGCCGUAA
rnacentral:rRNA from 1 species